rnacentral:lncRNA from 11 species
GUGCAUUUGUACGUUUAAAUUUUGCAGUUGUGAUUAUUCAUUAAUGUGAUGGAUAUGCUCUCUCUAGGAAUCUCUUGGGCCCCUUCUACACUGCCAUAUAACCCAGAUUAUCAAAGCAGAUAAUCCCCAAUAUCUGUUUUGAACUGGAUUGCAUGAGUCUACACUACCAUAUAAUCCAGUUGAACGCAGAUAAUCUGGAUUUUAUAUGGCAGUGUAGAAGGGGCCUGAGAUAUAUCUGAAUUCAAAUAAAACGACAGGAAAAGCUUUAUCCACUGAGUAUUCUUACCUAGGAAAUGAUGAAUUAAAUUUAAAAUUGAAUAGAAUUGGGGACCUGCAGGUGGUCUUGCAUUUCCUGCAGGCAAAUAUAUGGUAGUGUUUAGAUUUCCAUUCUAGCAGCUGAUUCGUUGACUUAAAGACAUAUAUUUUUUUCUUUCAGAUGCAAUUACUGGAAGAAUUUUCACAUACAAAAAUAACAGCCCAGACAAAGCCAUGUUAACCCAGGGGUCAGUCCCGCUUGAUUUGUUUUGACUUAUUAAUGUCCAGUCUCUAUCUUGUAAGCCGCCCCGAACCCUAGGGGAGUGGCGGCAUAUAAGUUUGAAAAACAAACAAAUAAAUAAAUCAGGGGAAUACAGAGCCAACUCAGCCAUACAAGAUAUCUGUUCAUGUCCAGUUCAAGUUAUUAUCUUCUGCAAGAUUUCGGAACCGCAGGCAGAAAAUUUGGAGACUUACUGCUGCUACCACAAGGCAUCGCUAAGGAUGCAGCUCACUGGCUUCAAAUUAUAAGAAUUUCAUCCUUGAUACCUGGAUCAUUAAGCGUUUAACCUUGCAACAGAUUUGUUUUAAAUAUAUAUUUGGUAACCUUUAUAGGGAAACUGACUUUGAUUUCUGUCUGCACAACCAUGACCUUUUGCUAUUCAUUAUGAGUAUUGGAUUCAAUUUGCAUGUGCUCAAAAUAAAGAAUUCUUGUACAAAUAACGACUUCUCUUUCUUGGCUUAAAUGCACUUAAAGGC